ensembl:lncRNA
AAUAAGCCACACUUCUCCUGGACUUUGCUCUCUUGCUCCUAGAUUUCUGUCUCAUGGUGCAAGAAAACAUGGAUUAGAAAGCCACCCAGCGGGCAUGGAAUGGAUCAGGAGAUUUCCUAAUUGAAAACAGCGCUGUCUUCUCUAGCAUUAAGACAAGAGGUGAUGAUCUCAAGCUGCACCAGGGAUGUUCCGGGUUGGAUAUUAGGAAGAACUUCUCCUGAAAGAAUGCUGUAUGCUAUCUCCCCAGCGAGCUCACAAAAGAAGCCCAAGGAACCAGCCAGCCAAGCAACAAGCCAGCCAAACAGAUAAGGACUGGCCACAGGACCAAGGCCCACCGCAAGCUGAGGAUCAUCUCCUGUUGGGAGUCAUCAGCGUGACAGUGAUGGUGAUAGCCUUGCCCAGACCCAAUGCACUAAGGAUGAUUUCCAACGCUGAUUAUGGCCUUUUUGCUGUCGGAUCAACCACAAAAUCCCUCCCAGGGGCAGAGUUGUGCCACGGCCUCAUCCCUCCGAGGAUGUGGGGGAUGUUAGCAGAAACGGGGUGUGACCUACAAAGCUCAGCUCCGAGAUGGAAGGACUUGGUGAUGUCUUCAGAUGUCCGAGUGGGGACAGCAGGUGGGAGCUUCCUAAGCCAGACAAAGGAGACCUGACAAGAAACUGUGCUGAAGGGACAAGCCCAAGGCAAAGGAAUGUCCGGUCACCUCCUCCCCUGGAGCAGGCAGCUGAGAUCUGCAUAGACAGGAGACAUUUUGCAAGACUCAACACCUGGAGCAGUGCUAACCAGGGCUCACUGCCUCGGGUAGAACUCCAUUUGCUGAGCUUUCCUGCUCCAGGUGGGCAGCCCUGAUGUCGGCCAAGCUCUACGUGCUCAUCAGCUGGCCUGAUGGCAGCCGUGUCAUCAGCAUGGAGAACAUCAAGGAGCCCCGCAAGCCCUUCCAUCUCUACGUUGUGGGUGAACAGGUGCUGGCCCGCUGCCCUGGCUUCAGUGGGCUCUACUGGGGGAUUGUGGAAGGCAUAAGUGAGCAUAAAGAUGCUUUGGAGAAGAAGCUGCUGGAAGAUAGACAACUCCUGGAGAAGUUAAAAGACGAACCAGCUGUCCACAGCAUGAUGCCACCCCAGCCAAAAAAAUCCAGGAAAACCUUCCCAAAAUGGACCCCGGUGAAUGCAUGCAGGAAAUACCACACUGACAGGACUUACUCUGGGAAGCCACUGCUGCAGGCAGCUGAGCCCAUCCUGCCCUGCGGUGCUGGCAGCCCCUCCAUCACCAAGGAGAGAUGUACCCUGGGGCCACCCCAUCCCACCAGCACCUUCACCCCCACAGCCACUUUUGUCAGCCUGGCUGUGCCGGGGACUUCCCAGGGUGAGGAGGACAGAGCUGGCACCACUACCAAAGAUUACGUUGCCCUGGCAAUGAAGAGGAAGUCAGAUGGCAUCUUGUCCCAAUGCCAGCAACACAUCUGUCUGAACAGGGAGAAGAUAGAGCAGCUGGAAAGGAUGGUCUUGGACCUCCAACAGGAUGUCCUCUCUCUGAAGAAGAAGGUACAGAGGCUGGAAUCCCUGUCCUUCCAGGAGGAGCCCCACCGGCAGCCCUGUGAGGUGGUGGAGCUCUUCAAUGGCUACACCAAGGAACAGCUCCGAGAAGCAAUCCGCUUUGACCAGAAGAUCAGCACUGCCUGCAAGACGCUGCUCUACAAGCUCUUCACGUCUGACUACAUCCAGAGCCACUCCAUCACGGGGCGCAGAGGCAACACUUUCCGAGAGGCAAAACCCAUGAUGGAUGAGCGCUGCAUCAAAAUCAUCAGGGUGCUGCUGAAACAGAAGUUUGGGGACCACCUCAGCGACACGGUGAUCACAGAGAAGAUACAAAACGUGCAGAAAGCUCUGAGGCAGAAGUUUAAGACAGAAUGUCUCUGACAUGGGGGUGGUUUGGUGUCUCUGGUCCUACCCUUCUCAUCAGUGCACCUGAGCGUCCCUCCCAAAAAUAUCGUGUCUGCAUUGCUGCUGCUUGGCUGAUUCCUCCUGAGGCACUGAAGAGGACACAGAUCUUUCACAAACAUCUACCUGCAUUAAUCAGAGGGAAGUUUGCUCAGCUUGGCUCCAGGUUUGCACAUCUGCCAGCACUUUACCAGUUCCUUCCACUACAGUCUGUGUGCCAAGCUCAACUCAUGGCUGGGUGUUGACCCCUGGGUCUUUUUGAUGGACACACUCAAAAGAUGGAGAUUUCCCAUUGGAUCCAAGCGUGGGUUGGUGAGCCAACCUUGCAGUGGUCAGGGAGGGAGAUUGGUGGGAGGGCAGGAGCUGCAGCCCCAACAAAGCAGCAGCUCCAUUUGCACAGGGACUUGGGAGCACCCAAUGUGACUUCUUGCAUAGCACAGCAGUCCCCUCAUCCUGUGGACAGCACCUACUCCCUUUUUGAACGCAUACUGCAGCUUCUCAUGGUAACAGAAGGGCAGGCUCAUUAACACCAUGCCAUAAAACCUUCAGAGAAGGAUUACUUCACUUUUCUCCCCCUCUGUUUUAAUGUGGCUGUCUGGAAGAAGUGUCUGCACUAAUGAAGCCUGCUGAACAAGAGAAGGU